rnacentral:rRNA from 1 species
ACUGCGAGUGAAAAGGGAAAAGCCCAGCGCCGAAGUCGUCACCUGAUUAAAGCAGGUGAAGUGACAAUGUGGCGUUAAGGAGGAGCCUCCUCGACCAGACGUAUCGUUGAUCGAACCGCGGGAGUCCGAGUCCCCCUGACUGGGGCCACAGCCUAUGACGGGUGCCAGGCCUCUUUGGCUUCGUUCGACGGUUCGGAGGUUGCUGGCUCCUUCCUGAGAGUCGGGUUGCUUGAGAGUGCAGCUCUAAGAUGGAUGGUAAACUCCACCCAAGGCUAAAUAUAACCAUGAGACCGAUAGCGAACAAGUACCGUGAGGGAAAGUUGCAACAGAACUUUGAAGAGAGAGUUCAAGAGUACGUGAAACCGCUCGGAGGUAAACGAAUGGGCCCUCGAAGGUCGAACGAGGGGAUUCAGCCAGUCGGCCGAGCCGCUCUCACCUGCUGAAAAGCGGGAUCCCUUCGCGGGGUCUCGUGAAACGGAUCCUAGCUUCGCGCUAGGACUUCGGGCCGGUGGUUCAAGAGUGGCAGUCGGCUGGUGCACUUCCCCUUUAGUAGGACGCCGCGACCGGUCGGGUCUUCUCUUUAACUUUUCCUCGAGGUUUCGGCUUCGGGGAAGGGGGAGGAAAAAGUUUGCGGCCAUACGGCGAGAGAUUAUCGGGGGCAGGUGUCCGUUUCCGCACGGUCGUCCUCAUUCUCCGACCUUUCUUCGGAUUGGCCGGUUGUGAGGCGAUCUUCUAGCGGUUCGGAGUUACAGCCCUCUUCUCGACCCGUGCUCCGCCACCCGACCGACAAACGGUCACGAUCAUUGCUGACGCGUUACCCGCAAAAUAUGUUUUGCGCGCUCUCGUCCCGAGCAGGCAGGAUGCACGAGUAACAGUAUCUCGUCAUUCCCGGAAACGGGGCGGGAUAUCCACCGAACGCCGGUCCAAAAAACCGUAAAGGCGGUCGGUGGCUCUGCGUCCGUCGCUGGCUCACGGGGACUUUUGCAAUCUGGCGUAUUGGGUAAUCGCUGGCGGUCGGNNNNNNNNNNNNNNNNNNNNNNNNNNNNNNUAACAUGUGCGCAAGUCGUAGGGUCUGCUUUACACAAAGCUAAACCCGAAGGCGAAAUGAAAGUAAAGGUCGUUCUCUUGCUUCUUUUUCUCUGGAAGCCGGCUCGGACCCCCAUCUUUUUCUUCACGGAAGGAGUUGGGGCGCGAGGGUCGGUGAAAGGGGGAGAAGGGCUCGAGGCCUAAAAAACGGCCGAGGCGAGAUCCAAUAAAUUGUGCAAACAAUUUAUUAAAAACCGAGCAUGGGGCAACGUCCUUUAAUUUGAAUAAAAUUAAAGGGCGGCUCGGUGGCGCAUCGCCGGCCCGUCUCGAUCGCUGCCCUCGUCGUCCGACUCGUCAUUCAUUUGGCUUGCCGGCGCGGGGGAACGAGCUCGAUACGUCGACGAGGCGGAGCAAGAGCGCACACGUUGGGACCCGAAAGAUGGUGAACUAUGCUUGGGCAGGACGAAGCCAGAGGAAACUCUGGUGGAGGUCCGCAGCGAUUCUGACGUGCAAAUCGAUCGUCGGACCCGAGUAUAGGGGCGAAAGACUAAUCGAACCAUCUAGUAGCUGGUUCCCUCCGAAGUUUCCCUCAGGAUAGCUGGCACUCAAAACAAAGUAAAAGCAUUCUCAUCCGGUAAAGCGAAUGAUUAGAGGCAUUGGGGCCGAAACGGCCUCAACCUAUUCUCAAACUUUCAAUGGGUGAGAUGUCCGGCUUGCUUGAACUUAUCUUGUGCAAAUAAGAUUCUUGAAGCUCGGACUUUGGAUGCGAGUUUGCCAAGUGGGCCGCUUUUGGUAAGCAGAACUGGCGCUGUGGGAUGAACCAAAAGCCGGGUUAAGGCGCCCGAUGCAGACGCUAAUCAGACCCCAUAAAAGGUGUUGGUUGCUAUAGACAGCAGGACGGUGGCCAUGGAAGUCGGAAUCCGCUAAGGAGUGUGUAACAACUCACCUGCCGAAGCAACUAGCCCUGAAAAUGGAUGGCGCUCCAGCGUCGAGCCUAAACCCGGCCGUCGGAAGGCAGAAAACUUUAAGGAUUUUUUGAAAAAAAUUUCCAAAAGAGUCGAAGCCCCGACGAGUAGGAGGGUCGCGGUGGUGUGCGUCGAAGGGAUUGGGCGCGAGCCUGCCUGGAGCCGCCACCGGUGCAGAUCUUGGUGGUAGUAGCAAAUACUCGAACGAGAACCUUGAGGACUGAAGUGGAGAAGGGUUCCAUGUGAACAGCAGUUGAACAUGGGUCAGUCGGCCCUAAGGAAUAGGGGAAACCCGUUCUGAAGUGACCCGGUGAUAUAUAUAAAAUUAUUGAUCCGGCGAACGACCAAAAGGGAAUCGGGUUAAUAUUCCCGAACCCGGAUGCGGAGAUCGGCCCUCGUGAGUAGGAGCUCGUGCGGAUUAACUUCCGUUUCGGGCGACGAAAGGGAGGGCCCGAAGCGGCAACGCGUAACGAACUCGGAAACGCUGACGGGGGCCCCGGGAAGAGUUUUCUUUUCUUUGUAAAGGACGCAAUCCCUGGAAUCGGCUCGCCCGGAGAGAGGGAUCUUGUUCCUGUAAAGCACCGCGGCUCUUGCGGUGUCCGGAGCGUCCCCGUCGGCCCUUGAAAAUCCGAGGGAGUGAUACAAAAGAUUUCCGCACCGGACCGUACCCAUAUCCGCAGCAG